AUGGAUGUCCCACGGCGUCCAGGCUCUGUGACUUCUGACCCCGCAGCCUCGGCCCCUUCCUGUCCCAAAGGCACAUCCCUGAACUGGAAACUGGACGAAGCCAUAGACCUAAGUGAGAUGGGCUGCAGACAGGAGAUGUGCCCGGGGGCCCCGAGCCUCACAGCAGAGGCGAGCAGAUGGAAACCGGGCUGGGAAAGCUGCGGCGCACAGCAGCGCCCGUGGCUUUGGGUAAACACUCACCCCAGACAUGCAAAGAGCUCGGAAGGAACUGAUCACCGCCCCGGGCCUCAGGUCUCUGCCCACGCUCUGCCCCUGCCCGAGCUCUCUGCACUGCUGGCUUCUAGGGUUUCUGACCAACGUGGCUUCCUCCAGGAAACCUCACUGGGUGAGCAUGGGCCUUGGAGCCAGGUCACCUGCAGGGAGCUCGCAGCCUACGGGAGCACCAGGCCACUGCUGGGGACACCUGGGUGGAGGCAGGGGUCUCUAGCCUGCCAGAGAGAGGUCACACCUCCGCUCAGGGGUCUCAGCCCAGGGCCCCUCCUGGUGAACUCCUACUCCUGUAACGCUCAACUGCAUGUGGCCGGGUGGCCAGACAAAGCCCUUGUCGAGGACGGACCCUGGUUUGCAAAACAGGCCCCGGAAACAGAUGCUGCUCCGUGAAGGCCUUCAUCAUCGUCGUCUCCUUCAUUUGCAUCAUCUCCAUCUCUGCAUUUCUCCCACCUGCCGGUGACCACGCAGUCUCAGCAGUCCCUGCGCCCUCCAGAGGCGGCUCCUAGGUACUGCAUGCUAACUAGCUCAACUCAGGUUGAAGGGGCCACCACUCCUCACCUCCAAAUAAAAAAUUAAUUGAACCGC
rnacentral:lncRNA from 1 species